rnacentral:rRNA from 1 species
CUGCUGCCUCCCGUAGGAGUCUGGUCCGUGUCUCAGUACCAGUGUGGGGGACCUUCCUCUCAGAACCCCUACGCAUCGUCGCCUUGGUGGGCCGUUACCCCGCCAACUAGCUAAUGCGACGCAUGACCAUCCGUAGCCGGAAUCGCUUCCUUUAAACCCAGGAGAUGCCUCCUCGGGUUGUUACGCGGUAUUAGACGGAAUUUCUUCCGCUUAUCCCCCUGCUACGGGCAGGUUUCAUACGUGUUACUCACCCGUGCGCCGGUCGCCGGCGGGAG